rnacentral:piRNA from 1 species
UCUGCUCCUCUGUGGCUACUCUCCCA